CAUUUAAGUAGCCGUGCGUUAGCGAUAGCCACUGCCUGUCCUGUGAACCCUGUAACGUUUUUCCCAGUUGGUCUGAGUUAGUUAUCUGAGAGGUGAUCAGUUAAUGAGAGACUGGGUUUAUACUAAUCUCCUUAAUUGGCACUUCCUGUGGUUGAUCCUUAAAUAGUGCUCAGCUGAGGCUGAACUUUAUGCAGCUUCCAUUUGGCUCUGGACACUUGAGCAGUGAGUAUGGUUCUCCUGCAGCUCCCUUCUGACACAUGAUUACGGUUGGUGAUUAUUUUUUCCUGUUGUGCCUCCUUACAGACUGAGUGUCUGACACAUGUACAGAGCCCACAAGCUGCCAUGAGCUAUUUCUACAUGUAACUAGGUGACUACGCCUUGCAGCUUCCCCUACGUUAUAGGCUUUUUAACUUCAUUAUGUGAUCAGGCAUGUUGCCAACUUUGAAGGCCAUUCCACACAUCUGAGUGAUCUGGCUUGCCGUCCAGGUGAUUUAAGUGCCAAUCUUGAUAAAGGUCCGCAUAAGGACCGAAACGUCGAUGAAAUACGGCAUCAACAGUGAACCCGAAUAAAAAUAUACUGAAUUUACAAGUGACUUCAGAGACUAAUUUCUGGGCGUGAGUGCACCUUCCACCUAGGUGGUUGUUGUGGUAUAUUGGUGGCCUCUCUGGUCAUU